UACGUAGGGACCAAGCGUUGUUCGGAUUUACUGGGCGUAAAGGGCGCGUAGGCGGCGUGGUAAGUCAAUUGUGAAAUCUCCGAGCUUAACUCGGAACGGUCAAUUGAUACUGCUGUGCUAGAGUACAGAAGGGGCAAUCGGAAUUCUUGGUGUAGCGGUGAAAUGCGUAGAUAUCAAGAGGAACACCUGAGGUGAAGACGGGUUGCUGGGCUGAUACUGACGCUGAUGCGCGAAAGCUAGGGGUAGCAAACGGGG
rnacentral:rRNA from 1 species